UUGUGCUGAUGAUCUUAGAUAUGACUGACUUGGUGUUGUUGGCCUUUGGGUGGACUCUGACCGGAAAAUGACUUCACUUAAUCCUCUUACUGAGCAG